UUUUCCUCUCUCUCUCACUGAGUCAACUCGUCUCUCUCUUUUCCGUUUCUCAGUUUCUUCUCUGUAACCAAGAACGUUAAAAAAAACGCCGAUUCGUCGAGAAAGUGAAACGCAGAUCGAUCACUGAAAGCAGACUUAGAUAUUCUGGUGGGUUUUGAUCAUCGGAAGAGUCUCUGCCAUGAAUGGGAACAACGGAGGAUCAGUUAACGCGAGCGUGGUUUACAUGUCCGGCUACUUACCAGGAGCCUCGCCGGAAAAGUCUCCGAUUCUCUCUCAUGUUCCCGUGCGGUUACCGGCGGCUGUCCACGGCGGAGGUUCAUGGAAAGACGUAUGCGGCGGCGGUUGUGGAUUCGCUAUGGCGAUCUCAGAGAAUGGGAAGCUUAUAACUUGGGGGUCUUCUGAUGAUGAAGGACAGAGCUAUGUGGCUUCUGGAAAGCAUGGGGAAACUCCAGAGCCGUUUCCACUUCCUACCGAGGCUCAAGUCAUACAAGCUUCUGCAGGAUGGGCACAUUGUGCCGUUGUAACAGAGGCUGGUGAAGCGUUUACUUGGGGUUGGAAGGAGUGCAUUCCAUCAAAGGACGUUGGUGGGAAGCAGCAGAGUGGCUUGACUGAGCAAGGUACAAAUGCAUCAAGCGGUCAGAAUGAGAACCGAAAGGUGGGGGAGGAACCAGUGAAGCGGAGACGGGUUUCUACCGCCAAAGAUGAAACGGAAGGUCUUACAUCUGGAGAGGACUACUUUGCUACAACACCUUCGCUUGUGAGUGUUGGCCUUGGAGUGAGGAUCACCAGUGUUGCUACUGGUGGUCGGCAUACUCUAGCAUUGUCAGAUAUAGGACAGGUUUGGGGUUGGGGAUAUGGAGGCGAAGGGCAGUUAGGAUUGGGUUCCAGGAUUAAAAUGGUUUCAGCUCCUCAUCUGAUACCUUUCCUUGAAUCACCUGGCUCUGGAAAAGAAAGAUCUUUUGUAUUGCAUCAAGGGACAGCAACCACGUCAAGAGUUCCUGGUCAGUAUAUAAAGGCGAUUUCUUGUGGAGGGCGUCACAGUGCGGCAAUUACAGUUGCAGAUUCUGGAGGGUUAAUAACUUUUGGCUGGGGACUCUAUGGACAGUGUGGCCAUGGAAACACAAAUGAUCAGCUAAGGCCCAUGGCUGUGUCAGAAGUGCAGAAUGUAAAGAUGGAAAGCGUAGCAACUGGAUUGUGGCAUACUAUUUGCAUCUCUAGUGAUGGUAAAGUGUUCGCCUUUGGUGGGAACCAAUUUGGGCAACUGGGAACUGGCACUGAUCAUGCUGAGACCAUACCGAGGUUGCUGGAUGGGCAGAACAUGGAGAACAAACAUGCAAUAGCAGUUAGCUGUGGAGCGCGACAUAGUGCGGUUUUGACAGUCGUUUUAAAGAGACGAAACUAAAGAGCCCUAUGAGAUGCUGCACCUUGUCUUCAGAUGAUGGUCAACUGCUAUGCUGGGGAUGGAACAAAUACGGGCAGCUGGGUCUAGGAGACACGAUUGACCGGAACAUUCCAACACAAGUCGAGCUCGAUGGCUGCAGACUGAGAAAAGUGGCGUGUGGAUGGUGGCAUACUUUACUUCUAGCUGACUCACCCACUUGAGCCAAUCACCAGAUCCUCCGUACAGGACAUUUUCAGGGUUUCCAUCUUGUGAAAGAGCUGCUUGUAGGUUUGAUAGAAGCUGUACAUACAGAGGAUAUUUUCUGUAUGUGUGUUUCUUCUUCUUCUUCUUCUUCAAUCUUUCUCUGUCUUUUAUGUUUUUCAAGGGACAGAUCUCUUUGACUUUGCAUUGUAUUAUAUGGCAAAUUUGCGGAACAAAACAAUAAAUCAGCUUGGUAUGAAAGAAUCUUAGGUUUCUUCU